CCUCCCCCACCCCUACGCCCUCCCUCUCCUCCUUCCACGGCGUCACUAAAGUCCAGGAAAAUUAUGCUAAUGAGGACAAACGGCUCUCACAAAGGGGCUCACUUGCCCAGUUCUAUUUCUUAUGAAUCCGUUUGAAAAAGCAUGCAGCCCUCUACCCUGGGCAUUUCCAUUGGGGUAGCAAAGGGCAAAGAGAGAAUUAGAGAUGAGUUGCCAGACUUGAGACCUUUCACUUCACCUGCAGCCUCCAAGCCAGACACCCCAAAGCCGGUCUCUGAAGUGCGGGGGGACUGGGCCUUUCUCCAGGGGCCUUCCUAAGAGCAACUCAACAGUAUUUGCUUACGUUUUGUGGCCGAAACUGUUGACGUCCUGCAGCCAGGGGGGCACUAAGCUGGGGAGAUGGCUAUCUAUCCCAGCAGUGAAACGGAGCUCUCUGGGAUCAGGCACACUCAAGGGUGCCUAGAAUCCCAGGCCUCCAGCCCCCCUGUGUCCGCUCGCCCACGGGGAGGAUAGACAAGGCUCUCAGGCCAACACAAACGAUAUCCAUGAUAUUUUGCCCUCUAAUUAGUCGAAUGGCCUUUCCUUCCCUGAACGGAGUAAAGGCCCAAGUGCGCCACAACUUUAAAGAGGAUGCUAUCUUCCCAAAGCCCCCCAGCCCCCUCAGCUUCUCAGCUUCAGAAGAAAACUCUUCAAGGGGAUGAGAUUCCAAAAAAGAGAGAGAAAUAGAGCUUUCGUGCAACUCCGAGGCGUCAACAGAGGUCCUUCUCAAAGGAAGGUGUUAAAAAUAUAAGUAGUAUGUUUAAACUGUCAGGGAGCCAAAGUGUCACCUUAGAGCAAAAACAAAGUCAGAGAAAAGGGAGAAAUCAAAAAGUACUCCGGGCCAGGGUGGCCUCAUGCAUACCAAUGGUUUUUGUCAUUUAUGGCUCGGUAAGAUUUAUGACUCGGCGCCCCAAAGCUGUAAACAGAGCACAAAACAGCAAACACUUGCUCCUUAUGGCACACUGCAGCACAGCGACUUGAAAGGAGGAGCCCGGGCGCGUAGGAGCUAAGCUCGCUGCAGGGAAGUCCAGCUCCUGGUGAGAACCUGCCCGGGAAAGGGGAUGAUCUGGGACAAGGGGACCGAGGGCUCUGGAACCAGGGCUAGGGCGGCUGCCACGAAGACCUUUCCAGACAAGACCAAGCGGGACUGGACUGAGAAGUCGUGGGAGCCGUGGCAGAUCUGGGGCACCAGCUCAGCUCAGGCCUGGGCCUCCUCCUGCCCCGUUUCGGGGCUGUAGGCCCUGGCAAGCAAAGCAGAGCUCUGACUGACUUCGGAGACUAAGGUCUGGCCUCCUGGUAUUCAGAUUCAUUGCUGUCCCAGUGACUGGCCCCAUCCGAAGGGCUGACUUGGAGCCAUGGGAUGCGAGAUGAUUAAAAUUAAUCGUUUACAAUGCCAGAAGGUUUCUGUUGGUUUGUUAUUGUUUGGUAAGACAAAAUACAAUAUUUGAUGUCCACCUCCAGAAAUUGUCCACUGUUGCUGUGUGAUUUCUAGUCAAAAUCUACCAUAGUUAACCCGGCUUCUCCAAACACAAGCUUUUCUUUGCUGAAGAUCCCUUGGCAUCUCCAACUUCCCUGAGUGCCACGGCUUCCAGGAGACUAGAAGACCACAUUUUCUCAGCCGCGGAAGAGUCGCUGGAACAAGAAAGUGUCUGGUGGUACCUUUCUACCAUUUGAGGGGUGCCCUGACCAUUUCUGAAAGAUCUCAGCAGCUUCGAGGCUGUCUGUCUGUGCUCCAGGGAGGAAGGUGAGGAGUAAUUUUUGGCAAAAAGGAGGCAUCAAAAUUCAAGAUGCGGAGGAAGGUUAUUGAGGAAAUAUAUUUCCCUGUGAGGCUGAGGCCGCCGGCAUUUUGAGAGCAGAAGGGAAACAGCCCCUUUAGUAGCUAAUAGCUCAGUCGUAAUGGGUGGUUUUAGCUCUCUCCUAGGAGGACAAACCAACUGUGUUCUAUGAAAGCAGCUAUUGGCUUCUCACUGUGCAUGCUUAUUCAGAACCAGCUCAAAGAGUCCAUCGUUAGAUAUUUAUUCUGCUUUCUGGAACUGAAGCGACAAUAAAAAGAUGCCUCUACAAAA